GACUACCAAGAUUAUAACGGAUAACGAGGAAUUGGGUUUCGACAUCGGAGAGGGAGCUUUACAGAUGGCUACCACUUCUAAGGAAGGCAGCAGGCGCGUAAAUUACCCACUUUCGAAUUGAAGAGGUAGUGACGACACAUAACUCUAGAGUUGAGUAAAAUCAAUUCUUGAAGGAAUGAGUAGGAGGUAAAUUCUCCUACGAAAUCAAUUGGAGGGCAAGUCUGGUGCCAGCAGCCGCGGUAAUUCCAGCUCCAAUAGUGUAUAUUAAAGUUGCUGUGAUUAAAACGCUCGUAGUUGAAUUAAAAUGUGAUUUUAUACAUUUUGAAGACUUUACAUUAAGUGAAGUUUCUAGAAAUGUUAAAUUAAAAUCAAAGAAGGAGACAAUUCAAGUAAUUGAGUUGUCAUUACUUUGAAUAAAAUAAGGUGUUUAAAGCAAAACAUUAUGUUAAUGAAUAUUCAAGCAUGGGACAAUGCUGAGGAGAUGUCAAUUAGACAUUUCGAGAGAAGGAUUAAAAGGAACAAUUGGGGUGAUUCAGAAAAUAACGGGAGAGGUGAAAAUCCAUGAUCGCUAUAAGAUGCACGAGAGCGAAAGCAUUUCACUCAACUGGGUCCAUUAAUCAAGAACGAAAGUUAGGGGAUCGAAGACGAUCAGAUACCGUCGUAGUCCUAACUAUAAACGAUGUCAACCAAGGAUUGGAUGAAAUUCAGAUGUACAAAGAUGAAGAAACAUUGUUUCUAAAUCCAAGUAUAUCAAUACUACCUUGUUCAGAACUUAAAGAGAAAUCUUGAGUUUAUGGACUUCAGGGGGAGUAUGGUCACAAGGCUGAAACUUAAAGGAAUUGACGGAAGGGCACACCAGGAGUGGAGCCUGCGGCUUAAUUUGACUCAACACGGGAAAACUUACCAAGACCGAACAGUAGAAGGAAUGACAAAGUAAGAGUUCUUUCAUGAUUUAUUGGGUAGUGGUGCAUGGCCGUUCUUAGUUGGUGGAGUGAUUUGUCAGGUUAAUUCCGGUAACGAACGAGACUGAAACCUAUUAAUUAGUUUUCUGCCUAUAAGACAGAAAUGUUCGCAAGAACAGGUGCGUAAGUACCACUUCUUAAAGGGACACAUUUCAAUUGUCCUAUUUUAAUUGUUAGUUAUCUAAUUUCGAUUAGAACUCUUUUAACGUGGGAAAAAGAAAAAGGAAGCAUUCAGCAAUAACAGGUCUGUGAUGCCCUUAGACAUCUUGGGCCGCACGCGCGCUACAAUGGAGU
rnacentral:rRNA from 1 species